UGAGGAAUCUGUCCAUCGGCGGGGGAUAGCCGGCCCAACGGCCGGGUAAUACCGCGUACGUCGGCGGAAGCGCAUGCUUCUGCCGGGAAAGCAGCAAUGCACCGAUGGAGGAUCUCGCGGCCUAUCAGCUUGUUGGCGGGGUAAUGGCCCACCAAGGCGACGACGGGUAGCUGGUCUGAGAGGAUGAUCAGCCACAUUGGGACUGAGACACGGCCCAGAUCCGUACGGG
rnacentral:rRNA from 1 species